rnacentral:rRNA from 1 species
GCGGCAGGCCUAACACAUGCAAGUCGAGGGGCAGCACAAAGAUAGUUUACUAUUUUGGUGGCGACCGGCGCACGGGUGAGUAACGCGUAUGCAACCUACCUUAUACAGGAGUAUAGCCCGAAGAAAUUCGGAUUAAUCCUCCAUAGUAUUUUCUAAUGGCAUCAUUUGGGAAAUUAAAGCUUCGGCGGUAUAAGAUGGGCAUGCGUCCUAUUAGCUAGAUGGUAAGGUAAUGGCUUACCAUGGCAACGAUAGGUAGGGGGCCUGAGAGGGUGAUCCCCCACACUGGUACUGAGACACGGACCAGACUCCUACGGGAGGCAGCAGUGAGGAAUAUUGGGCAAUGGAGGCAACUCUGACCCAGCCAUGCCGCGUGCAGGAAGAAUGCCCUAUGGGUUGUAAACUGCUUUUAUUUAGGAAUAAACCCUUCUACGUGUAGAAGGCUGAAUGUACUAAACGAAUAAGCACCGG